rnacentral:pre_miRNA from 1 species
AAGCGAGCAAAGAAGUGGUAUUUGCGUUUCCAAGAACAAAUAUAACUUCUUUGAAAGCUAGG